GCCAACCUGAAAAGAUGGAAGAUAAGAGGCUCUGGGAACUGGUGAAGAAAGCUACAAGCCGAGCUUCGCUCUUCCCAGAUUUCAAGUAGACAAAACUGGAGUUAAGCCUUCGGUCUUUUAAAAACAUUUUCUUCUUUCUUCGUAUGCGCGGAUUCAGGCUCACAUGGACUUUUUUGAUGAUACCACAGCUCCCCUGGGUAGAAGCUUUCUGACCCACCUUUUAUGUAAG
rnacentral:lncRNA from 1 species